AUAUAUAUACAUAUAUACUUUUUUUUUUUUUCGUUUUUAAGGGCCGCAUCCGCAGCAUAUGGAGGUUCCCAGGCUAGGGGUCUAAUUGGAGCUACAGCUGCCGGCCUAUGCCACAGCCACAGCAAUGUAGGAUCUGAGCCGCGUCUGCGACCUACACCACAGCUCAUGGCAAUGCCAGAUCCCUAACUCACUGAGCGAGGCCAGGGAUUGAACCCGAAAUCUCAUGCUUCCUAAUCAGAUUCAUUUCUGCUGCCCCACGAUGAAUUUAAAAGGCUGGUUAUUGUCAUAAAGGCUUAUGGAUAUGUACCAUGCACCUACAGAAAGAGGAAUAAUUUUUUCACUUAAGGUACCAAAUAAACCAGUAAAAGCCUCAUUCUCCUUUCUGGCCCUUUCCUUCCUCUGACCCCGCCCCUCCCCCAUCCAUGCAGGGGUUGCUUGGGCAGGUUCUAUAAGCAAAUGAGGAAAACAAAUGGUGGUUCCAACACAGUCCCCAGUGCUGUGUCAUUUGACUACGAAAGCUGACCAUGCCAGACCCUGGAGCAGAGUCCCCAGGAGCCACACUGAGAAAGGGUCCAGUUUCCCAUCACUAGAAGCAUUUCCUCAGGUCACAUAUUUCACUGAUGAUACAGAAACCACUGGCUGCUUGCAGUGGCCAAGUUUUCCGAGACUGGUGGAGGUGAGACUCAGCUCAUAUCUUGGAGGAAAACCCACGCAAGUACCCAUGGCAGCCCUUCUUUCCUUCCUCUCUCACUCCCGAUAGCAGCCUUCAGCUGCCUGUGAUUUCACAGGGGCGUGUGUGUGUGUGUGUGUGUGUGUGUGUGUGUGUGUGUGUGUGUGUGUAUGCCAGUGACAUCAGAUAAGAAAUUGUCUUCAGCAGCUUAAGAACCCACAAAACUGUGUCUGGCCCAGACAAGGCACCAAGGAUUAGGCCGAUGACAAUACAUUAAUCUCUCAUGGCACUGCUUCAAAAACACUAUCUAUUUCUCCAACAAGUUAAUUCACAAACAGCUUUUCCACGUCUUAAACAGCUGGAUUUUGUUUUUCUGGAUUAUACUUUUCACCCCUUCCCAUGGAUCUAUCUUGAAAAAUCAUCUAUUAGCAUCAGGAUGCAGUGAAAAGGACAGAAACCUUGGCGAUAAAAAGAUGAAUGAUGACAUAUUCGCCAUUGAAUUCUGGAGAACUUUCAUAACAUCCGCAUGCCCUCAGUUUUCUCACCAACAAAGAAAACUGCAUAAGAACCUCCCCCAGGGUUGGAGGGAAGACAAAAGAACACUAUGUGCACAGCACCUUGCGCCACGUCAAGGGCAUGAAAGUUACCCGGCCAGCGGUCCUGUGCCCUAUGACCUAGACCCCAUUUCUGCAACUUCGAAGAAAGUAGGAGGUAUCCAAAAACUCCCCUGCUGACGGAUAUUCAAAUCUUUAUAGAAAUUGCCAUGUCAUCUCCAGAAGGCAUAUAAUAACUUGCAACCCAGAAGAGAGAGACUAAACCUCUGAUUAAUUAAAAGCGUCAGGUGCAUGUGAAAAUUCCUGUUGGACGUUAAAGCAGCUAGUGACAGGGUUUGUAAAGGAAACGAUUAAGGGAAUUCACCGGCCAGGGCACAACCGUAUUAAAUGCUAUUCUUCUGGUCGAGUCCAUCAGGAAAUGGUAUGGUCUUCAUCGUUUCCUCCAACUGCAUCACUCCCUUCACAAAGCAAACACAACCAAAAGGAUUCAGGUGUUGCUUCUGUAUUUUUUACGCUCAGACUUAUGUUGCUGCCUGACCUAAAAGACAAUUUUAUCUAACUAAGUUAUAGAUCAUUAAGCUGAAAAAAAAAAAGUUUGCUUGUUACUGCUGUUUUACCAUCUUGCCCCAUCUUGUCUCAUUAGCAGGAACUGAUUGAGCAUGAAGGUGUUCUCUGGCUGUCAGUAGAUAAAGUAGGUGCUCUUGGCUUUCAUCUGUUCUGAAUUCUCCUUGUCUCAUUAUCUUCCCAAGGUCAGAUUCUCUGACACGGCGGCUGCUUGCUUAGCACUUCAUUCUGGCAAUUACUCGC
rnacentral:lncRNA from 1 species